rnacentral:misc_RNA from 1 species
AACGCACCUUGCGCUCCUUGGUAUUCCGAGGAGCAUGCCUGUUUGAGUGUCAUUAAAUUCUCAACCACUUCAGCUUUUAUUAGUUGUGAGUGGCUUGGAUGUGGGGGUUUGCGGGCUUUUCUAGAAGUCGGCUCCCUUUAAAUACAUUAGCGGAACCCUUGUGGACCGUCUCUGGUGUGAUAAUUAUCUACGCCAUGGCCGAGAAACAGUUAUACAUGGGGAUCAGCUUCUAACAGUCUACUUGGACAAACACUUUAUUGACAUUUUGACCUCAAAUCAGGUAGGACUACCCGCUGAACUUAA